rnacentral:rRNA from 1 species
CCUACGGGAGGCAGCAGUAGGGAAUAUUGCUCAAUGGGGGAAACCCUGAAGCAGCAACGCCGCGUGGAGGAUGAAGGUUUUCGGAUUGUAAACUCCUUUUGUUAGAGAAGAUAAUGACGGUAUCUAACGAAUAAGCACAGGCUAACUCCGUGCCAGCAGCCGCGGUAAUACGGAGGGUGCAAGCGUUACUCGGAAUCACUGGGCGGAAAGAGCGCGUAGGCGGGAUAGCAAGUCAGAUGUGAAAUCCUAUGGCUUAACCAUAGAACUGCAUUUGAAACUGUUAUUCUAGAGUAUGGGAGAGGUAGUUGGAAUUCUUGGUGUAGGGGUAAAAUCCGUAGAGCUCAAGAGGAAUACUCAUUGCGAAGGCGACCUGCUAGAACAUAACUGACGCUGAUGCGCGAAAGCGUGGGGAGCAAACAGGAUUAGAUACCCUUGUAGUC